AUCUAAAUAGUUUUAAAAAAAAUAUUGAUUUGUGAUAUCAAAGAUAUAUAUAUAUUAUUUUAGAUU
rnacentral:tRNA from 1 species